AUUGAACGCUGGCGGCAGGCCUAACACAUGCAAGUCGGACGGUAGCACAGAGGAGCUUGCUCCUCGGGUGACGAGUGGCGGACGGGUGAGUAAUGUCUGGGGAUCUGCCCGAUAGAGGGGGAUAACCACUGGAAACGGUGGCUAAUACCGCAUAACGCCGCAAGACCAAAGAGGGGGACCUUCGGGCCUCUCACUAUCGGAUGAACCCAGAUGGGAUUAGCUAGUAGGCGGGGUAACGGCCCACCUAGGCGACGAUCCCUAGCUGGUCUGAGUGGAUGACCAGCCACACUGGAACUGAGACACGGUCCAGACUCCUACGGGAGGCAGCAGUGGGGAAUAUUGCACAAUGGGCGCAAGCCUGAUGCAGCCAUGCCGCGUGUAUGAAGAAGGCCUUCGGGUUGUAAAGUACUUUCAGCGGGGAGGAAGGCGAUGUGGUUAAUAACCGCAUUGAUUGACGUUACCCGCAGAAGAAGCACCGGCUAACUCCGUGCCAGCCGCCGCGGUAA
rnacentral:rRNA from 1 species